GGGGGCGAAUGGAAUCGACCGUGUUACGGAGGUAACAGGCAGCAUGCUGAGGUUGUCAGGAGGCCUCAUUAAACACCUGGCGCAAACAACAAGUGCCGAUUAUCAAAUGGCAAUGGCUGCAUAAAAGUAGCCCUUCCUCCGGGUCCUGCCUGUAGGACCCAAGGAUGACAGCUAACAGGCUGGCCCGGACUUUUUACCUGAGGAGACUGGGUGAGAAAAUUAUCAGGCUGGCUGUCGCGGAACCCUGUCUACCGGGGUCCGCAGUACGGCGAGAUUUCUUAAAAAGAUAGACUAAGCAUGUAGAAACCUUUACCGAUGUGCAUUGGGACGCGGGUUCAAUUCCCGCCGCCUCCACCA
rnacentral:tmRNA from 1 species